CUCACUCACAAAGAAUCACGCCAUUCUUCAUGCUUCCAUUCCUUCUUCCCUCUCUUCUCUUCUCCCCUCUCCCUCGCUGCUGAGCCGCCACUACCACCAAGGGCAGUAGACGGUAGCCGUGACUCACCCCAAGCAGCAGACGGCAGCCGUGACUCACCCUAAGCAGCAGACAACAACCGUGAGCCAUCCCAAGAGCAAAUGCUGUUGCAUUUUUCCACCGCCAGCAGUGGUGGCUGCCCCACACGACCACCAAUUGUGGUCCACCACUACACUUACCACUCCUCUCUUCACCCCUUUUCUCUUGUUCACCUAAGUGCCCAUUUUGUAAGAGGAAAGUAGAGCCUUAGUCGGGUGAUUUUGUAACUUUUGAUCGUGCAGUGACGCUUACAGCAGGAGGAUCAUAGACAGGCGUAGCAGGUACUGGAGCUUCUUUUGCAUUGCAUUGCAUUUAGGGAGAGUGAUGAGGGCGAAGCAUAACCUGUGUCAUACCGCUGUCUUUCGAUUUUGUAGCUCUUGUUAUCUUUUGUAAACUUUGGUUGUAUAUGUUUUGUUAUGAGGCCUUGUGUCCUCCCUCGUAUCUUUGUAUUUCCAUUGCGUAGUUUAUAACUCUGUAUGGUUUUAAGGAGUUAAGUCUUUUUAAAACGCAAACGUCGACACUGGAACCGCGAUCCAUGCUUGGCAUGUUCAUUUGAGAAGCCGGCGACGAAUCAUUCCGCCGUGACAUAGUUUUGAUAGGUCGUUGGUGCCUUU